rnacentral:rRNA from 1 species
GAUGAACGCUGGCGGCGUGCCUAAUACAUGCAAGUCGAGCGGUAAGGCUCCUGCAGUUUAUUUAACCGAUGAGUAAUCAUCAAUCUCUAGAGCUAUGGCUAGCGAAAGAGUGUUGAAUAAAGCGCUGGAGUACACGAGCGGCGGACGGCUGAGUAACACGUAGGAACGUACCCCAAACUGAGGGAUAAGCACCAGAAAUGGUGUCUAAUACCGCAUGUGAUCUUCGGAUUAAAGCUUCGGCGGUUUGGGAACGGCCUGCGCAUGAUUAGCUUGUUGGUGAGGUAAUGGCUCACCAAGGCGAUGAUCAUUAGCUGGUCUGAGAGGAUGACCAGCCAGACUGGAACUGAGAACGGUCCAGACUCCUACGGGAGGCAGCAGUAGGGAAUUUUCCACAAUGGGCGAAAGCCUGAUGGAGCAACGCCGCGUGCAGGAUGAAGGCCUUAGGGUUGUAAACUGCUUUUACGAGUGACGAUUAUGACGGUAGCUCGUGAAUAAGGAUCGGCUAACUCCGUGCCAGCAGCCGCAGUAAAAC